CGGGACCCGAUGGAUUCUCUUCAUACUUAUAUAUUCAUGCUUGGGCUAUAAUUUCUGAUGAUUUUAUUGCAGCCGUCCGAGAAUUUUUUGCAGGGGCUCUCUGUCCAGAUGCCUUGGGUGCUUCUAUCAUCUCACUCAUCCCAAAAAAAGACAAGCCGCACACGUUUCUUUAUUUUAGGCCCAUAAGUAUUUGUCAAGUGCUCUACAAAAUUAUUGCCGAGAUUAUGGCCAAUAGAUUAUCUAAGGUGCUCCCAAGAAUUAUCUCUCAGAAUCAAGGUGGUUUUGUGGAGGGACGUUUGAUAUCAGAAAACAUUUCUUUAGCUCAAGAAUUAGUCCAGCAUUUGAACAAGUGCUCACGGGGAGGUAAUACUAUACUUAAAAUUGAUAUGGCUAAGGCAUUUGAUAGGGUGGAGUGGAACUACUUAUUGGCUGUCUUGAGAGCUUUUGGUUUUGUUGAAGUUUGGGUCUCUCUUAUUCAUAAUGCUAUUUCUUCCCCUAAAUUUUCAGUAAAAAUUAUUGGAGAACAAGCUGGCUUUUUUGCACCUACUCGGGGUCUUCGACAAAGAGAUCCUCUAUCUCCGUUAUUGUUCAUUCUUAGUGAAGAACCUCUAUCGAGAGGAC
rnacentral:lncRNA from 1 species